AUUGAACGCUGUCGGCAGGCCUCACACAUGCAAGUCGAACGAGUGGCGGACGGGUGAGUAAUGUCUGGGAAACUGCCUGAUGGAGGGGGAUAACUACUGGAAACGGUAGCUAAUACCGCAUACCAUCGGAUGUGCCCAGAUGGGAUUAGCUAGUAGGGGGGGUAACGGCUCACCUAGGCGACUAUCCCUAGCUGGGCUGAGAGGCUGACCAGCCACACGGUGACUGAGACACGGUCCAGACUCCUACGGUAGGCAGCAGUGGGGAAUAGUGCACAAUGGGCGAAAGCCUGAUGCAGCCAUGCCGAGUGUAUGAAGAAGGCCUUCGGGUUGUAAAGUACUUUCAGCUGGUAGGCGUUACCCGCAGAAGAAGCACCGGCUAACUCCGUGCCAGCAGCCGCGGUAAUAC
rnacentral:rRNA from 1 species